rnacentral:tRNA from 4 species
GCCCAGAUAGCUCAGUUGGUAGAGCAGAGGAUUGAAAAUCCUCGUGUCCUUGGUUCGAUUCCGAGUCUGGGCACCA